GACGUAGGAGGCGAGCGUUGUCCGGAUUCAUUGGGCGUAAAGAGCACGCAGGCGGUUUGGCAAGUCGGAUGUGAAAACCCGAAGCUCAACUUCGGGCCUGCAUUCGAUACGGGCAGACUAGAGUUCGGUAGGGGAGUCUGGAAUUCCUGGUGUAGCGGUGAAAUGCGCAGAUAACAGGAGGAACACCGGUGGCGAAGGCGGGUCUCUGGGCAGUAACUGACGCUGAGGAGCGAAAGCGUGGGGAGCGAACAGG
rnacentral:rRNA from 1 species